rnacentral:lncRNA from 1 species
AUGGCAUAUAGGCCUCCAUUUCUCCCGCUGCCCCACUGUGCAAACACUGGUGGCGGGCAGGAGUGGGUGGUACCCGGAUCCAGGUGCUCUCCCUGGCAGUUCCAGGUGCGGGGCUCCGGGGAGCGGUCUAGCAGCUGUCAGAGGCCCCGCCCCCGCCGCCCACCUCCUCAGGAAUUGGCUGUCCCGGUCCCAGGGGGCUGUCCCAGGGUCGGAAAAAAGUCUGGGGUCGCAGGGGCGGGUUUUCAGUCACUCGUGGACAAAGCGUAUCGCGCUCGCGUUGCGGCCUCAGGCGGAGGUCACCGUCCCUUUCCCUUUCCUUCCACAACCGCACGCGCGCUCUUCCUCCGCUACUUGCCCUCCCCCCGACUCCCGGGUCCCGCCCCUUCGAGGAAGUGUAGGGCACGCCGGUCUCCGGGCACGCGGGCGUCUGUCCCAGCAGCCCCGGGCGGUGGGCGAGGGCGCGGACUGGGGACCCGGGAGGGGAAGGGGCCGGGGCGCGGGGGCUCCCGGAAGCAAAGGCGGCCGCCGCUCGGGGACCGACUCCGCAGAGAAGCUGUCAGAGGGAAUGAUACCAAAAAGGAAACAAGAAUGUUAAAAAGAGCAUUUGUACCAUCUAAAGUACCUACGGAUGGAAUAAUCUACAGACAAGGCCAAUGUAACCGGAACAGGAUAUUGUGACAAAACCAUCCAGUUUCCAUCAAUUUGUCAAGGUGGAGUCUGGGGAAAACUGCACGCAAGGACAUGGAAGGCAAACCUGUGCUUUCUGGGGAAGCUGCAGAAGCAGUGUACUUGGGUACAUCUGUGAAGUCAUCUCGUGGCCCCUUCUCCCUGCACCAGAAAUCGAACCAGAAGGGGAAGCAACAGCUAAAUAAGGUUUGAUGAAGCCAGGUAAGAAAAUCAGAUACUCCCAUUACAAAUUGCAUUUCAUGUGACAUCUGUAUUUCGGGUAGCUAUCUAUGUAGGCUCCCUGCAGACUGGUCAGUCUUUAUUUUCAAUAUAUUUUUUAAUGCCAAUGCUAUUUAAAGGCUUUGUUAAUUUGAGAUUCUACUACAAUGAGAGGAAUGAUUUUAAAGUGACGUCCCCAAAGCCUGGCCUCAAAGUUUGGUUAUCUAGCACUUUAGUAUUAUUCUUUUGGAUGUAUUAUAUAAUCAACAACAUUAUAGCCUGUUGUCAGGUAUAAAAUAUAUUCAUGUAAUCUGAAUAUGCUGAUUGUAAAACUGUAAUUAAGGGGUGUUGGUUUGAAAUUUUCCUCUUGUGAAUCUAAAAUAACUACAGCAGUGCUUUUACAUAGGCUAUGACAUUUAAAAAAGUGAAAAUAUGGUAGUGUGUUUGAGUGCUUUUGCACUGAGUCAGGAGAGCUCUAUAACCUGUUGUCAGGUAUAAAAUAUAUUCAUGUAAUCUGAAUAUGCUGAUUGCAAACUGUAAUUAAGGGGUGUUGGUUUGGGGUACUGGGCCAUGUGUUUUUUUUUUCUGGCUGGGAACUUCCUGCAGCUGAGGGAGCAAGUUCAUAGCUAGAUGGAGAGGGGAAAGGUCAGGGGAGCAGGGAGUUAUCAGCAGAAUGGAUAGCCCGGCACUAGUUGCAGUUCACAAGUGCCAAAAAUCAAGCUGCUUUCUUGGCUGCUGAACUAUCACCAUGUUUUCCUGUGACUGACAUAGACAUGAUGUGACCUUCAUCUCGAUCUUCUUAUGGCAUUUGGACCGCUCACCCCCUGCCUCAUGGAUAAUUGUAGGGGCCCUUCUCUUUUUUAGGGAUAAAACGGACAGGCAUGAGCCCAUCACCCCAUUCCUUUUGCAAAAAUUCUCUCAACCAAGCCAGAAUGAUUCAAAAGUGCUAGCAAAGCAGGUGUUCAGAAAGAUCACAUUUUUGUCUGGCAGUGUGACGGGGUUCUGCACAGCAGGAAAGGCAGAGGACAGCUCUGGGAGUGGAGCGUGUGAGACUGGUGCUACUUACCAUAUGCUUGCCAGGUAACUGGUUAUGUCCUUGACCCUGGCGGCUAUGGUACCACUAGUACUUCUUUCUUGAAAGGACACUUGAAACAGUUUAGAAUAGUAUCAAGUGGCAAAAUUAGUAUAUUUGAAAUUUUAAAAGAAAUCACACUUUUGGGGAACUUCCUAAAGCCUUUAUUUAGCAUCAGGUAGAUUAUUUCAUUAUACCAGUUGUUAACUUCAAGACAGCAAUUAAAAUCAUGUACUGGCAGCUACCUAAGGCCCCUGGGAACAAUAUGUCUGGGGUUUGGGUGGAUAAAUACUAUAAGAUUAAUGUACCCCAAAUUAAAGGGGCAUAGCUACUGUACAGGUCUCCACACAUAUUUUACGUACACCAGUGCCUUGCAAACUUGAAAUGCAUAAGACUUCCUUUUAUAUAAUAUUUUAUAUAAUUUGGUACUUACAUAAAUGAGUGCAACUUAAUUUCCCUCGUGGUAUUUGCCACUGGAAGUGGAAGCAUUGAACAAGGUUCAUCAUUAUGCAAUCAUCGUUUCUAGGGCAUUUUUGUGACUUGCCAGAUUUUAUACAUAUUUUCAUGAUACUGCAGAAAAGUAAAUUCAUAACACUAAAGUACUUUUCUAGUUUAAUUCUCUAAAUCAGAAAAACCUAUUCUGAAUAUUCAGGCUUUUUUCUUGUUGGAAUGGGUAAAAUUGGGACGAUUAGUAUGAAUGAAAGCCAUCUUAUCAAUGGAGUCUUCACAAAAGACCUCUACAUUUGAGCAUAUAAACAUUGUUCUAAAUAUGUCAAAGGUUACAUUUAAAACAUUCAGGCCUGACACCAUAAAAACAUUCCCCAGCAGUUUUACCUCUAUAUAAAAUAGUAUAUAGGUGAAGGGGAGGAAGGCAGCAAAUCACACUGCGACGUGUGUACCUAUGCAGCAGUCUUGCAUGUUUUUCACAUGUACCCCAAAACCUAAAAUGCAAUUAAAAAAUCGAGUUAAUUUGUGUAAAAUACACUUACGUUGCUAAACUAGAAUAAAAGCAAACAUUUUAUUGGGUUUUGUAAAACAGUACAAAUGAACAGAUGCUCCAAAAGAGCAUAAGUUUUAGAAAAGCAGCCUAUUGCCCAGCAAGGGUGAUACCAUUUUGAAGUGGGAAAAAAAAAAUAGUAUUCCGACUAAGUACAUUUUGUAGCAAAAUUUUUCCUAAGAUUUCAUUACCAAUAUCACCUUACACCCUACUUUUGUUGGGCAAAAUGCGGUAAUCCCAUGAGUGUUUUUUCUUUUUUUAAAUAUAACUAGAGGCUGGGUACAGUGGUUUCUGCCUGUAAUGCCAGCACUGAAUGGCAGAGGGUGAGGCAGGCGGAUCAUGAGGUCAGGAUAUCAAGACCACCCUGGCCAACAUAGUGAAACCCUGUCUCUACUAAAACUACAAAAGUAGCUGGGCACGAGAGCACAUGCCUGUACUCCCAGCUACUUGGGAGGCUGAGGCAGGAGAAUUGCUUUAACCCAGCAGGCGGAAGUUGUAGUGCACCACUGCACUCCAGCCUUGGCGACAGAGCAGAACUCCAUGUUGAAACCAAGGGAAAAAAUUUAAAGUAAUAGAUUUAAGACUUACUUAGAGAUUAGUCAAACACCCUGACCUGUAUGCACUUUACUAAAUGGCAGACAAUGUCCCAGUAGCUGCCAGAGUAAAUCCAGUCGUGUGCUCCAUUGCAGGGAUUAGGACCUUGAUGGACCCACCUGUUAAAAGAAAAGGACAAGACAAAAUUACAGGCUGUUUCUUCACCAGCUUGCAGUAUUUUUCUGUUGCAGCAAUUCAUUCUGUGAGCGAGGGAUUUCCAAAGAGCUGCUGAAGUGAUGCUGAAGUGAGACUUAGGGAACAGGUCUAUAGAAUAAUAUUCCAAAAAAGGUAAAAGGAUAUGGAUUUCCCACCAGCAUCUAGCAAGCUCCUAGACAGAAGCAGGGUCUUAUAAUAGGGUGGUUUGAAACAAUGUCUUUGUCUAACCUGUUUAUCCUCUAGUUUAUUUUUUUGAAUAGUAAGGAAUAAAUUAGAAUAAGGAGAUUAACAUUUACAGCAUACCCACAGCAGUAUGUAAGGGACCUGGUUCAGAGUAAAUGCCCCUCAAACUCUUAAAGCUGCAUUUCACACAUGAGAAGCUGAAUGUCUAAGCAGUUAAAUAACUUGCCCAACCUCAUAACUGACAGCAAAUUUUAGGUUUAAUGUUCAAGACCCUGAUUUUUCUAAUAUACCAUGCUACACAUAAUCCAAAAGACAUGAAUAGACAUUUCUCAAAGAUGACACAGAAAUAAGAAAAUUCUCAACAUCAGUAAUUAUGAGGGAAAUGUGAACAAAAACCAGAAGAUACCAUCCUGUACCAGUUAGAAUGGCUGUUAUUAAAAAGAAAAAAUAAUAUGCUGGUGAGGAUGCAGAAAAAAGCAAGCUCAUAUACUGGUGGUGAGAAUAAAUUAGAACAGCCAUUAUGGAAAACAGUAUGGAGAUUUCUUAAAAAACUUAACUACCAUACAAUCCAGCACUCCCACUACUGAGUAUCCAAAGGAAAGGAAGUCAGUGUAUCAAAGGGAUACCUGCAUUACCAUGUUUAUGACAGCAUGAUUCACAAUAACAAAGACAUGGAAUCAACCUGUGUCCACCAAUGGAUGAAAGUCAGUGGAAAUGUUUUUUUCCAGGCCUGGAAUAACUCUGCAUGUUUUGUGUUCCAUAGGCUCUUGUUCUGGGGUCACAGUGUCUGGCAUCCCUUCCUCAUCAGCACACAACAGCCUGCCUGAGGGCUCAGCCAUGUACCUUGUCUUUCAGUCCUCUUCUGACUUGGACCUGUUUUGCAGGCUGCUAUUUGUUUUUCCUCCACUAUGUUGAUCUAAAAUAAGAACAGCAAUACAAACCAUUAACACUAUGCAGAGGAUGCCAGGCACAGUAUUAAGCAAAAUAACUUCACAAGAGAACCAUCUACAUAUAUCAGCAUCAUCUCCCUUUUAUCAGAACACAAAUACCAGAGUCAAAUAUCAAGCAAAAAUUGAAACAGAUACCUGGUCUAGUAAGAGGCAGAGCUGGUAUUGCAGAUGCAGCAUUUUUUUUUUUUUUCUUUUGACCUCUGAACUUUUU